CGGGGGGGCAAGCGUUGUUCGGAAUUACUGGGCGUAAAGGGUGCGUAGGCGGCUUUCUAAGUUGGAUGUGAAAACUCUGGGCUCAACCCAGAGCCUGCAUCCAAAACUGGGAGGCUAGGGUCCUGGAGGGGAGAGCGGAAUUCCUGGUGUAGCGGUGAAAUGCGUAGAUAUCAGGAGGAACACCGGUGGCGAAGGCGGCUCUCUGGACAGGUACCGACGCUGAGGCACGAAAGCUAGGGGAGCAAACAGGAUUAGAUACCCUGGUAGUCCUAGCCCUAAACGAUGGAUACUUGCUGUGAGGGGGAUUGAAACCCCUUGUGGCGAAGCUAACGCAUUAAGUAUCCCGCCUGGGGAGUACGGUCGCAAGGCUG
rnacentral:rRNA from 1 species